CCUACGGGGGGCAACAGUCGAGAAUCAUUCACAAUGGGGGAAACUCUGAUGGUGCGACGCCGCGUGGGGGAAUGAAGGUCUUCGGAUUGUAAACCCCUGUCAUGUGGGAGCAAAUGAAAAAGAUAGUACCACAAGAGGAAGAGACGGCUAACUCUGUGCGAGAAGCCGCGGUAAUACAGAGGAGUCAAGCGUUGUUCGGAAUCACUGGGUGUAAGGCGUGGGAAGGCGGUUUCGUAAGUCGUGGGUGAAAGGCGCGGGCUCAACCGGCGGACGUCACAUGAUACUGCGAGACUAGAGUGAUGGAGGGGGAACCGGAAUGCUCGGUGUAGCAGUGAAAUGCGUAGAUAUCGGGAGGAACACUCGUGGCGAAGGCGGGUUCCUGGACAUUAACUGACGCUGAGGCACGAAGGCCAGGGGAGCGAAAAGGAUUAGAUACCCCUGUAGUC
rnacentral:rRNA from 1 species